UCCGUAGGUGAACCUGCGGAAGGAUCAUUACAGAAAGUAAACGCGGAUCAAACCGCGAACUUCUAAACCUUUGACGAUUGACUCAUGUUGCCUCGGCGGGUUCUCCCGCCAGAGGAUACAUCAAAACUCCUGUUUUAACGGUGUUGUCUGAGCUACAAGCAACGAAUCAAAACUUUCAACAACGGAUCUCUUGGUUCUGGCAUCGAUGAAGAACGCAGCGAAAUGCGAUAAGUAGUGUGAAUUGCAGAAUUCAGUGAAUCAUCGAAUCUUUGAACGCACAUUGCGCCCCUUGGUAUCCCGAGGGGCAUGCCUGUUCGAGCGUCAUUUCACCACUCAAGCCUGGCUUGGUGUUGGGCGACGUCCCCUUUGGGGACGCGCCUCGAAACGCUCGGCGGCGUGGCACCGGCUUUAAGCGUAGCAGAAUCUUUCGCUUUGGAAGUCGGGGCCCCGUCUGCCGGAAGACCUACUCGCAAGGUUGACCUCGGAUCAGGCA
rnacentral:rRNA from 1 species